GAUGAACGCUAGCGGGAGGCUUAACACAUGCAAGUCGAGGGGCAGCAUAGGGUAGCAAUACUCUGAUGGCGACCGGCAAACGGGUGAGUAACGCGUAUGCAACCUACCCUGUACAGGGGGAUAACCCGGAGAAAUUCGGACUAAUAUCCCGUAAUAAUAUCCGGAGGCAUCUUUGGAUAUUUAAAGUUCCGACGGUACGGGAUGGGCAUGCGUAACAUUAGCUGGUUGGUAAGGUAACGGCUUACCAAGGCUAUGAUGUUUAGGGGUCCUGAGAGGGUGGUCCCCCACACUGGUACUGAGACACGGACCAGACUCCUACGGGAGGCAGCAGUGAGGAAUAUUGGUCAAUGGGCGCAAGCCUGAACCAGCCCAUCCCGCGUGCAGGAAGACGGCCCUAUGGGUUGUAAACUGCUUUUCCAGGGAGAGAAACUUACGCACGUGUUGCGUGACUGACGGUACCCUGGGAAUAAGCAUCGGCUAACUCCGUG
rnacentral:rRNA from 1 species